rnacentral:lncRNA from 1 species
GCUUUUAUAACAAGAGAGAAGAGCAAGAGCGAGAGAGAACCUACCUGUCUCAAACCUCUAGUUCAUGCAAGAAUUUAGAUGGUCCCUCGUUAACAAUAGCAUCAAAGCAAAUGAGGCAGUAGAAAGACAAAUUUUUACCAAAUCUAUCCAGUUGGCCCCAAAGGCAUCCUCUCAAUUAGAUACAACAGAAAUGAUCAAGAGAUGUAAUCAUAUGCUUUCUCAAUAUCCAAUUUGCACAAAAUUCAUAGUCUCCAUUGCUCGUAAUAGUUUUGUUUGCCCCUAGGAGAUGCACCUAGAAUAUGUCUACCCCUGAUAGAUGUGUGCUGAACCUCUCACACCACUGACUUCACAAUAAUACUCAACGUUUUUGUAAAAACUUUUGCAAUCAAGUUGUAGAUAAUGCAAACCAAACUAAUAGAUCUGAAAUCCUUAAGGUCAACAGUUUUUUCCAUUGGGAAUGAGUACGAGAAAGGAGGAAUUUAACCUUUUCACACAUUUAACAUUACAUAAAAUUCAUUGAAUAACUCCAUCACCUCAUUACACUUUUUAUUUUUUUUAAAAAAAAAAAAAAAAAAAACUCCAUCACCUCAUCCUUAAUCACAACCUCAAUUCAUUGCAAGAAAGCCAUAGAAAAUGCCUCUGCCCAAGGGUUUUAUCCUCAUUACAAAAAAAGGGCCUCCUGUACUUCUCAAAUUGGAAAAGGAACCUCCAAGAAGCUGCUCUGAAGAGGACUCAGCUGAGAGAAAGAGAACUAAAAUCAAGUUGGUAUCUUUCUAGACUCUAUCAUAUUGUGCUAUGUCAAUUGGUACCAAAAAAGAAAUUCCUGUGUUCACUAUCCAAUUUCACAAAUCCCAAAAAACCUUAAAUCAAUCAAGAACGUAAAUUCAUUUCCAUUUAACGAUCGAGAAGAAGAACAUAACUACGCAGCAAAAAUUGGCCUCAACACAAAAGAGUUGGUCACUGUCAGGAGAUGGUCAUCAAUGCUCUAACCAUCAGUAUCAAAGAAGUCCAAUUGGUGCCUCCACCAAGCCCUGAUGAAUUUCAUUGUCGUACACUCACUGCUUGAAGUUGAAUUUACUGCUAUCUUACAAGACCUGCAUUUUCCAGUCAUAUCAGCAAUCACCAAUGCCCGAUGGAAUCAACAUCACCACUGCACCUGUUCUGGCUGCUUAAAGUUCAAGCAUUUGAUGAGAAGCUUAAUAUCUGUCAUAGCUCUGGCAUGAUUCUGCUCAUUCUCCCUUCCCAAUGCCUCCAGUUUCUUACCAGUCUUGGUUUAUAAUCCCAUCUGCCAUGGUGCCACGAGAUGUCCAGACUUCCCAAUACCUCUGGUUUAAGGACCAAUUAGCAAAGAGACCUAAGUUUAGGACAAUUUAGGAUCCAAUAGGAACACUAAGACUAUGCUUGGAAGAAAUGAAUUAUUUUUAAGGAAUUUCACUCGGAAAUCUACAUUUAGUCCAAUUUAGGAAUAAUGAAAAAUCUAUUGGAAGAUGGUGAAAAUUAAUCUGCAAAAAGAUUUUCAAGUGGAAUUGAAACAUUACAUAAAUUCCACAAAAAUAAUUCAUUUAUUUCAUAUCAUAGCCUAAGAUGCAAAGAAAGAAAUAUAGAGUAACAGAGGAAUAUAAGAAAGAACGUGCAUGAGAUUUCCUCACGCUAUAUUUUACAGGUCAUCCAGAGUCUUUUAUACUCUAUUCUGGUGUUUAAUUGAUCCACUCGGCUAACUAGCUUACUAAUUAUUUAAUCCUCUCUAGCUAAAUAGUACCUAAGCUAUUCACUUUAUAACUGCAGCCAAUACAACCAGCACCCGAUACAGCAAAGAUAAACUGAAGAAGGUCCUCGAAGUUGUAAUGAAAAGGAACGAACAUAGAAGUNNN